UUAUUAUGGUAAUCAUACAGUAUAGUAUAAUUAUUAUAUUAGCUACUCAACAACGUGAUUAAAAGAAUUUUUGUCAACUUGUAUGUACGCAUGUACUCCAACGCCUUGUGCAUUGCAUUACUGUCAAUGUCAAAUGUUAAACUGGGCUGUCAUUUGUCAGCUGUGUGUCGAUUAAAAGAAAGACCUAUUCUAACUUCAAAGAAACGUUUUCCAACAAUCAAUCCUUUCUCUGGUCGACCCUUUCUUCUAUUAUAAUUUCGUUGGAAUGGCGAAUGAGAAUUAUGGUUUUUUGUCCUGCGCUCGGGAAUGUGAKAAUCCACAAGCCAUAUUACAAUUAUUUGUAGACUUGACCCCACAAGAGUGUGCGUUUCAACCAAUUAGCAUCUGGAGUCGGCAGACCAAGAGGAAAAAAAAKCCAUGUCUAUGGUYCAUUUUGUAUACGGCGAGAAAUCCAGAAACCCAAMUUUUAAYAGGAGCACAGGCUCGUCAACUCCGUACACAAAUAAACAAACGCAAACCAUUCAACGCCGAAAUCGUAGACUAUGAAUUUUAUGAAAAUUUACAAACUGGUCAGGUAGGAUGGCUGUUUAUCUGGAAGAACUUGGAAUGCAGUCAUCAGCCAAAUUUUUGUAAAAGCAGACAAUGUCCCCUAAAGGAAUGCUAACUUUUUUUAACUAUGUGUYGGUAAAUAUAAGAGUUUGUAUAACAUAAUAUCUAAGAAUUUGUUUAAUAAGUACGUUGGCUGACAAUUUAGUCUUCAAAUAAAAAACAGUAUUAUAAAA